CCUACGGGAGGCAGCAGUGAGGAAUAUUGGUCAAUGGGCGGGAGCCUGAACCAGCCAAGUCGCGUGAAGGAAGAAGGUACUUAGUAUUGUAAACUUCUUUUGUCGGGGAACAAAGGCGGAGACGCGUCUCCGGAUGAGUGUACCCGAAGAAAAAGCAUCGGCUAACUCCGUGCCAGCAGCCGCGGUAAUACGGAGGAUGCGAGCGUUAUCCGGAUUUAUUGGGUUUAAAGGGUGCGCAGGCGGGAGAUCAAGUCAGCGGUAAAAUGUCGGGGCUCAACCCCGGCCGGCCGUUGAAACUGGUUGUCUAGAGUUGGAGAGAAGUAUGCGGAAUUCGUGGUGUAGCGGUGAAAUGCAUAGAUAUCACGAAGAACUCCGAUUGCGAAGGCAGCAUACCGGCUCCAGACUGACGCUGCGGCACGAAAGCGUGGGGAUCGAACAGGAUUAGAUACCCCAGUAGUC
rnacentral:rRNA from 1 species